ACGAACCGAACCAAAUGCGAGCCGAAUACGCGAUGCCGUGAGUAAGCUAUGGGGGAAUGGCUGGCAAACAGCAAACGAAUGUCGAAAACAGGAGUCCACACGAAAGCGUAGUGUAGCGCUAAGCGCUUAGCGGCAAACGAAGACGGAUACCCGUGCCUGGCAAGGCGAUUGGUGAGAGCGCCCAUAUACACACACUUGUAUGUGUGCAUGUGUGUGUGUGGGUAGGUGUGUAGCCUUUCAGGCUGGCUUACAGCCUGAACCGACAUUUCGCAAUCACUUGCACAGUUCGAGUCGAGCCGUUGCGAGGAUAAGUCGCUGAACGCGGAAAGUGAACUCAGCCAGAACAGCGAAUAGUGGAGGCAAACAGUAAAUACACACUACUCUGCUGUGCUCUGGAGUGUACCUGUUAGUGCAUGAACUUCUAAAUUAUUGAUGAAAUAUAAAUAAAAACGCAGAAGACAGUUUCAAUUGACUAACAUAAAAUAUUUAUGGAAAUUCAAAAAAAGCAACAAAUGUUAAGAAAAAUAAAUAAAUAACGAAAAAUUAAAAAAAAAAAAAACAAAUAAUUAAUUAACAAUCUACAUAUAAAGUGUAUAAAAAUCAAGGAAGAAAACAGAAAAAAAAUAAAAUGCAAAAUUCCGAAAAUAUUUUGAAAUCUGAGAAUUCUAAUUAUCGUUAACUAUUGCUGUAAGUGAAACAUGUUGUGCAACUAUAAAUAAUUAAUAACAAAAAAAAAAAAAAAUAAAUAAAAAAAACUAAAUUUGUUUGUUUAAAUGAAAUCGACAUAUCUACUAAGUGAAUUGUGAAUACGAGAAUACUUAUCAGUGAAUAUUACAUAAAUACAAAUACAAUAAUAUAGGAAAUCAAAUAUAAAUGUAUAUAAAUAUAUAUGAUGAACAAAUAUAUGCAUAACUAAAACAACAAACAACUACACAAAUUUAACUGCAGCACCAGCAAGUGACAACGUUUAUAAUUCAUUGUUAAUAAAUUAAUUCAGCAGCUGCGGCUAAUUGAGCAAGUGUGAGCGACCACAGGGUAUAUGAUUUGGUACGUAUGGAUUUUCAUGUUAUCAACGCUAUUAACUUUCUAUUUCAUGAAAUAAUCCGUGUGCAAAACAUGAAUAUCAGGUAAUUCUCUUCUCAUUGUAUCUACUAUUGUAACUUGAGUAAAUAAA